rnacentral:lncRNA from 1 species
UGGAACCUGCAAUUACAAUUUUUGAUAUUAACGUAAAGAAUAUUCUGACCCUUAGAUCUACGAUGUCCUGGUUCAGGAAAUGCAGAAUUAUCCUUCUCUGAAGAGCUCAAAGGAACAUGGAUAAUCACUAGACAGGAAUAUAGAAGAGGCAUUCAAUACCUCUUGACAUUGGUCAACCUGCAUAUCCUUCCUACAAUUCUAGAAAGUGCAAGUUUACAGAUUCUGGAGACACAAGGAUUUCACUUGUCAAGAAGCAUCUGGAAUCAGAAAACCUUUCUUACAUUGAUAAAAGAAUCAAAGUUGAACAUGGAAAUCAUCUUUAUCUGAGAAGAUUGAAGACAAAAUUCAGGGUAGUUGAAGCAUUUGGACCUGUAAAGCAGAACACUGGAAAAGAAGCUAAAUUAGAGACAGAUUUGCCCAGGGGCUAUCUUGUGCAUUUUCAGGUUGAGUAGAGUAGUUGCUAUGAGUUUGGGGGAAAAGAGAGAGAGAGAGAGAGAGAGAGAGAGAGAGAGAGAGAGAGAUUGAAAUGGCUGGUCAGUGCCAGGGAACACUGAAGAUCUGGCCCUGCCAGACUAUAGAGACCUUGUUAAAACUUCUCAACCACACUGAGCACCCAGCUGAAAUAUGAGGAGUAAUGUGCUUUAAGUUUAAGAAAUAUUCCCUAGAACAAGGUACUCAGUAGGUAGAUCUGCUUGAACAAAGCCUUAAAAUAAACCUUGAUAAUAACCACGGGGGACA